CCGAUCCUUCCCUGACCCACUUGCGCCGCGGCGCAGUCAGUCACUCUUCCUCACGCCGUCGCGGCCACGGGUCACUUUCACUCUCUCCCAUGCCUUAAUUCCCCCACUGCACUCCCUCGACCCGCCGUUGAAGCUCGCUGCCACUGGCACCAUUGAAGGUAGUCACCGUAGAGCAUGAAUCGUUACCAAAAAGUAGAGAAUCCUAAGACCGAGACUCCAAUUGAUGAGAAUGAGAUUCAGAUUACAAGCAUGAAUCUGUACAUCACUUACAACAUGACUCUGCUCUAGAUACUCAUUGAUGCAUUAUUAUGAUUUUUACUGAUGCAUUGAAAAAUAUGCAUUGAUUAUUUCGAGAGCGAUGCGUUAAGAAAAUUAGCAAUAGGAAUAGAGAGAAUAGAAAAAAGUUGUGGAUGAAUCAUGCAUGCGGAACAAAAUCGAUUGCAUAGUUUUGCUACAAACAGGACGAGCUUACGAGGUUGCAGACUGAAAACAUUGAAGAUGAUGAGGGGCCAAUAUCAGAAGACGAGGCUUUUGUCAAGGUCGGGGAGGAAAAAUCGAACCGACUUUGUAGAUGUGGAGAUGGAUUGAAGCCACCGUCCAAAAGAGGAGAGAGGAUUAAUCUUGAUUUGCAAAAGGAGAAUGGAGAGCUGAAGAAAAAGAAUGAAGAGUUGGCAAAUCCCUGCUAUCAUUCAAUGCCUAAAUCAAAGUAGUCAUAUCCCAAAUUCUAGUUAAUGUAGGAUUAGCUGACUAAGUUUAUCUUUUAUUUAUUAGAAAGACAUGAUUUAAUGCUAUUUCAGAAAUAUGCUUCUGGCCUCAA